rnacentral:lncRNA from 1 species
GGAAAAAGAGAAGCAAAGAAUGGGGCAAUGGGGGCGGAUCACACCAGUGACAUGAGAGUUGCUCUGGUAGCAGUGGAAAUGCUACUUGUAAAACCAUCCUUAGCUCCAGGAUCGUAGAGCUAUCACUGAGACAAUUGCGCAGUGAGUGACAAGAGAGAUAAGCGGAGAAUGUGAGCCAUCUAUGAGACAGAGACACACAGGAGCAAUACCAGGAGUAAAGCAAGCUGAGAGCCGGAACAAUAUAAGAAAAGAGCCUACCAUGUGCCAGGUACUUUGCAAACACUGUUUUAGAGGACAACUUCAAUAAAAAACACCAGGUCAGCGGAUAAGACCAUGUCACUCACAGGUUUGUGACUUGAGGCCUGAGCACCAAUGAUCCACUCCACAUCAGUGGAGAAUGUUGGAAAGUAAGGACGCUGUGGACAUUUUCUGAAGUUGGAGAAAUGGAAUGGUGGAGAAGCCAGUAUUGGGGUACCAUGAGUGGAGCAGAGUUGACUACAAAUCUCAAUAAAGCUUUUCAACUGUAUACCUAACUGCAAAGUCAUUUACUCACAACAAGCA